UCAAACUUGACAUAAAGGUUGGGCCUGACCAGUAGAUGACCCCUAAUGAUUUUAGGGGUCAUUGGGUCAAUAGUCAAGGUCACUGUGACCUUGAAUGAUAAAAGGUUGUCUUAGUGAUGACUCGACAAUACAUCAAUCCGACCUGUCAAUCAAACUAAUCAUUAUUGACCAAUGAGAAAGCUGCAAAUUAUUCACCGAGUCCCGUCCGCCAUCUUUACCCACAAACACAGCAGCGAUAACUGUUUACAACCGGACAUUUUAUUGAAGUUUUAAGACUGAUUUGUGAAAAGGGUUAAACGAUGCGGAUGGGGAAUAUGUUAUGCAGAUUAAGGUGUCCGGAGGGACUAAAUGGAGGCCGAUUUAAACGAUUUCCGACGUAUAAUCCGAUAUUGAGAAGUGCAAAUGCUGGAUUAAAGCCUGUGGACGGCCACAAGAGAAACUGAAUGUCAACAGGAUAAACAAGCACGAAGAUGUCUGCUCGAAGCACUUUCAUGGAGGAAAUGGACCAUCUAAAGAGUAUCCUGACCCACUAUCAGCUGAUGGCUGGAGAAUAACAUCUUCAAGAACACUCCCCACAAAGCGGUCACUUGGAAAGGAAACUUAUGGCAGCAUUUAUACACAAAAUGCAAGUGUAUGCAUUUAAUACAAGAUAUCACAUGCCUAGAAAAGCUGGUCCAGGAUCCUGCAGACACUGUACCAGGAGUAGAAACACAGACCGAAUGUCCAUGGACGUCACCUUUGGAUGUUUGCACUUACCGCUCAAAAUGCUUCCCUAAAAGAACAGUUGUCACAAAAAGAAGUCCAAGUUGAAGAAUAACAGUCUGCACUUUCAUCAAAGUGUUGUGAAAUUCAGAUUUUAAAGCAACUGGUGGGAAUUUAAACAAACUGUAAAUGUCGAUAUAGUUCUGCUCAAAGAAGCAAUAGUUACAAUUUGUUUAAAUAUUAUACAGGAAUCAUAUGAUUUUAUUUCUGCUUCUUUGAUAUAAUUGAAUAACUGUUAGUUUAUUCAUGUUUGGAAUAAAGCAUUGUAAAGUGAA